rnacentral:rRNA from 1 species
CAGCAGCCACGGUAAUACGUAGGUGGCAAGCGUUAUCCGGAAUUAUUGGGCGUAAAGCGCGCGUAGGCGGUUUUUUAAGUCUGAUGUGAAAGCCCACGGCUCAACCGUGGAGGGUCAUUGGAAACUGGAAAACUUGAGUGCAGAAGAGGAAAGUGGAAUUCCACGUGUAGCGGUGAAAUGCGUAGAGAUGUGGAGGAACACCAGUGGCGAAGGCGACUCUCUGGUCUGUAACUGACGCUGAGAAGCGAAAGCGUGGGGAGCGAACAGGAUUAGAUACCCCCGUAGUCCCUGUCUCUUAUAC